UUCCCAGCAACUCCUAUCCCUACAUCCUCUUGGUGCAGGCCGGGGUACGAGUAACAUUAGGGAAAAUCGGGCAACUCGCCCCGAUGGGAGCUCUGGUCGUAUGCUGACAGGGAAGG
rnacentral:ribozyme from 1 species